rnacentral:rRNA from 1 species
UCUUUCUUUGUCUGGCGACCGGCGCACGGUGAGUAACACGUAUCCAACCUGCCCUUUACUCGGGAUAGCCUUUCGAAAGAAAGAUUAAUACCCGAUAGCAUAAUGAUUCCGCAUGGUUUCAUUAUUAAAGGAUUCGGUAAAGGAUGGGGAUGCGUUCCAUUAGGUUGUUGGUGAGGUAACGGCUCACCAAGCCUUCGAUGGAUAGGGGUUCUGAGAGGAAGGUCCCCCACAUUGGAACUGAGACACGGUCCAAACUCCUACGGGAGGCAGCAUG